AGUACGGUCGCAAGAUUAAAACUCAAAGGAAUUGACGGGGGCCCGCACAAGCGGUGGAGCAUGUGGUUUAAUUCGACGCAACGCGCAGAACCUUACCAACCCUUGACAUACUUGUCGCGGAUUCCAGAGAUGGAUUCCUUCAGUUCGGCUGGACAAUGUACAGGUGCUGCAUGGCUGCCGUCAGCUCGUGUCGUGAGAUGUUCGGUUAAGUCUGGCAACGAGCGCAACCCACGUCCUUAGUUACCAGCAUUUAGUUGGGUACCCUAAGGAGACUGCCGGUGAUAAGCCGGAGGAAGGUGUGGACGACGUCAAGUCAUCAUGGCCCUUACGGGUUGGGCUACACACGUGCUACAAUGGCAUCUACAGUGAGUUAAUCUCCAAAAGAUGUCUCAGUUCGGAUUGGGGUCUGCAACUCGACCCCAUGAAGUUGGAAUCGCUAGUAAUCGCGGAACAGCAUGCCGCGGUGAAUACGUUCCCGGGCCUUGUACACACCGCCCGUCACACCAUGGGAAUUGGGUCUACCCGAAGGUGGUGCGCCAACUAUUUAUAGAGGCAGCCAACCACGGUAGGUUCAGUGACUGGGGUGAAGUCGUAACAAGGUAACC
rnacentral:rRNA from 1 species